rnacentral:tRNA from 1 species
GGAGAGAUGGCCGAGAGGUCGAAGGCGGUAGACUCGAAAUCUAUUGUGGGCUCCGCGCUCACCCGGGGUUCGAAUCCCCGUCUCUCCGCCA